rnacentral:lncRNA from 1 species
CCCCCUCAGCCAGCUGGGCAGUGACGGCCUCUGGAGCCAGGAGCCCACGCUCUCUCCUGGCCUCCUGCUUCUGGCCUGGCUGCCCGCCUGCCUGGCUCGCCACAGCCCCCAACCCCGGGCGGGCGCCCCG